rnacentral:misc_RNA from 1 species
GAUGAAGAACGUAGCGAAAUGCGAUAAGUAAUGUGAAUUGCAGAAUUCAGUGAAUCAUCGAAUCUUUGAACGCACAUUGCGCCCGCCAGUAUUCUGGCGGGCAUGCCUGUUCGAGCGUCAUUACAACCCUCAGGCCCCCGGGCCUGGCGUUGGGGAUCGGCGGAAGCCCCCUGCGGGCACAACGCCGUCCCCCAAAUACAGUGGCGGUCCCGCCGCAGCUUCCAUUGCGUAGUAGCUAACACCUCGCAACUGGAGAGCGGCGCGGCCACGCCGUAAAACACCCAACUUCUGAAUGUUGACCUCGAAUCAGGUAGGAAUACCCGCUGAACUUAAGCAUAUCAAUAAGCGGAGGAA